rnacentral:rRNA from 1 species
UACGGGGGGGGCAAGCGUUGUUCGGAAUUACUGGGCGUAAAGGGCUCGUAGGCGGCCCACUAAGUCAGACGUGAAAUCCCCAGGCUCAACUUGGGAACUGCAUCCGAUACUGGAUGGCUUGAAUUCGGGAGAGGGAUGCAGAAUUCCAGGUGUAGCGGUGAAAUGCGUAGAUAUCUGGAGGAAUACCGGUGGCGAAGGCGGCAUCCUGGACCGACAUUGACGCUGAGGAGCGAAAGCUAGGGGAGCAAACGGG